CUACGGGGUGCUCCAGUGAGGAAUAUUGCACAAUGGAGGAAACUCUGAUGCAGCAACGCCGCGUGGAGGAUGACGCAUUUCGGUGUGUAAACUCCUUUUAUAUGUCAAGAAAAUGACGGUAGCAUAUGAAUAAGCUCCGGCUAACUCCGUGCCAGCAGCCGCGGUAAUACGGAGGGAGCAAGCGUUACUCGGAAUCACUGGGCGUAAAGGACGCGUAGGCGGGAUAGAAAGUCAGGUGUGAAAUCCUAUGGCUCAACCAUAGAACUGCACUUGAAACUUCUAACCUAGAGUAUGGGAGGGGAAGAUGGAAUUAGUGGUGUAGGGGUAAAAUCCGUAGAUAUCACUAGGAAUACCAAAAGCGAAGGCGAUCUUCUGGAACAAUACUGACGCUAAGGCGUGAAAGCGUGGGGAGCAAACAGGAUUAGAUACCCCAGUAGUC
rnacentral:rRNA from 1 species